rnacentral:rRNA from 1 species
CCGGCACGGGUGAGUAACACGUAUCCAACCUGCCGUCUACUCUUGGACAGCCUUCUGAAGGAAGAUUAAUACAAGAUGGCAUCAUGAGUCCGCAUGUUCACAUGAUUAAAGGUAUUCCGGUAGACGAUGGGGAUGCGUUCCAUUAGAUAGUAGGCGGGGUAACGGCCCACCUAGUCUUCGAUGGAUAGGGGUUCUGAGAGGAAGGUCCCCCACAUUGGAACUGAGACACGGUCCAA